GAUGAACGCUGACAGAAUGCUUAACACAUGCAAGUCGAUGGGGAAGUGGUGCUUGCACCAUGGCAACCAUGGCGGACGGGUGAGUAACGCGUAAGGGACUUACCUGCAGGACUGGGAUAACAGGGGGAAACUCCUGACAAGACCGGAUAAUGUCAUGGAGCUGCAUGGCUUUAUGAUGAAAGGAGACGCCUGCGGAGAGCCUUGCGUCCUAUUAGCUAGUUGGUGAGGUAAUGGCUCACCAAGGCGAAGAUAGGCAGCCGGCCUGAGAGGGUGGACGGCCACAAGGGGACUGAGAUACGGCCCUUACUCCUACGGGAGGCAGCAGUGGGGAAUAUUGGACAAUGGGGGCAACCCUGAUCCAGCAAUUCUGUGUGCACGAAGAAGGUUUUCGGAUUGUAAAGUGCUUUCAGCAGGGAAGAAGUAAGUGACGGUACCUGCAGAAGAAGCGACGGCUAAAUACGUG
rnacentral:rRNA from 1 species